rnacentral:misc_RNA from 1 species
GAUGAAGAACGUAGCGAAAUGCGAUAAGUAAUGUGAAUUGCAGAAUUCAGUGAAUCAUCGAAUCUUUGAACGCACAUUGCGCCCGCCAGUAUUCUGGCGGGCAUGCCUGUUCGAGCGUCAUUUCAACCAUCAAGCCCCCGGCUUGUGUUGGGGACCUGCGGCUGCCGCAGGCCCUGAAAAGCAGUGGCGGGCUCGCUGUCACACCGAGCUUAGUAGCAUACAUCUCGCUCUGGGCGUGCUGCGGGUUCCGGCCGUUAAACCACCUUCAUAACCCAAGGUUGACCUCGGAUCAGGUAGGAAGACCCGCUGAACUUAAGCAUAUCAAUAAGCGGAGGA